rnacentral:snRNA from 1 species
GUGCUCGAUUUGGCAGCACAUAUACUAAAAUUGGAACGAUACAGAGAAGAUUAGCAUGGGCCCUGGGCAAGGAUGACACGCAAAUUUGUGAAGCGUUCCAUAUUUUU